ensembl:lncRNA
AGAGCCUGGGAGAUAGGGACACCCUCUUCUAGAUGAUUACAUCUCAAAGAGAUGGCUCCCAGAGCCUUGAGAAAGACAUUCCUGGGUUGUAAAACUGGCAAGAGGCCAGGAAAAGAUUUAUAUCUCAAAAGGUCUGAGGAAGAAUUUACAACUGCAAGUUUUCUAAAGUUAAUGCUCUAAGAAAAGGAAGAGAGAGAGAGAAAGAACAUCAUGGACGUUUCACAGGAGCUGAGAAGGGCCACAGGGGCAGGCCAAGCAAUGAGGUUUGCAGCCCUGAAAUGUUGCAAGUUGACUAGCCAAGCCUGCCAGAGCAUUUACAAGCUGAAGUGUGAUGAGCUUCUAUCCUGUGAGCUGAUGCUUUCAAAAGCAAGCUGAAAUUAAUACAGGAACUUCGCUUCCCAUGUGAUUUAAUCCAAGUCUGGGCUCACAGUGGAAAAAUGUGGAAACAGUGCUCAAGUGAAAAGGAUCGACAAGAAAACAAUACCAAAAAAAGAAAGAGAAAAAAAAAAUAAGCAAGAAUCACUGUUGUCUUCCACGUUAAAUCAAUACAGUACAUUGUUAUUCUGUCCUUUUAUCGAAAUUCUAGUCUCUCAGAAAAAGCAUCUCAGCACAGCAGUACAGUGCUGCCAGCUCCUUCACAAUGGAUUUUUUCUGGUGUUAAAUAUGAUACCAUUUGAAGCAACUCAGCACCCUCUCAAACUUGUCCCUAGGGAUUCCAACUUCAAAGAGAUUGUCCACACUAGCAAGCAACAGCAGAAUCUGCAAACUCCGGUUUGGUAAAUUGGCUAAAUCCUGCCUCUGCAGUAUCUACUCAAGGACUGUGAUCUGCAGAUAGCUCUCGUCAGCUUUAACGAAGCAGAUGAGGGCUGAUGAACACCAAUCAAACAGCUAUCAUUAUUUUUUGAAAACAGUAAAUGCAGAAACAAGUAACACAUGAGUAUUCAUUUGCUUCAAAUGUAUGACUUAUUAUUAAAGGCAAGAUAAGGAUGUUUUUAUUUGAAUUCUUAACAGUUUAAAAAUACAGACAGUUCUAACAAGAUUACCAGAACAACACAUUUAAAGGAUAGAAAGUUCAGGAAUAACUGUAACAAAAUGCAAACUAAACUGGAAGUAGGAAAUAGAGCAAACACUGUCCACACAGGAUUUGAUGCAGGAUAUCCAAAAAUAUUUUAGAGGGAAACUACCCCUCU